UUGGAGGGCAAGUCUGGUGCCAGCAGCCGCGGUAAUUCCAGCUCCAAUAGCGUAUAUUAAAGUUGCUGCAGUUAAAAAGCUCGUAGUUGAAUUUUGGGACCAAUAUGUCGGUCGUGCCUCGGUACGUACUGGCAUCGUUGGUUUCUCCCUUCUGACGAACCAUGGUGUCAUUUAUUUGGUGUCGUGGGGAAUCAGGACUGUUACUUUGAAAAAAUUAGAGUGUUUAAAGCAGGCUCACGCUUGAAUACAUUAGCAUGGAAUAAUGAAAUAGGACGUUUGAUUCUAUUUUGUUGGUUUCUAGGAUCGACGUAAUGAUUAAUAGGGAUAGUUGGGGGCAUUAGUAUUCAAUUGUCAGAGGUGAAAUUCUUGGAUUUAUUGAAGACUAACUACUGCGAAAGCAUUUGCCAAGGAUGUUUUCAUUAAUCAGGAACGAAAGUUAGGGGAUCGAAGACGAUCAGAUACCGUCGUAGUCUUAACCAUAAACUAUGCCGACUAGGGAUCGGAUGAUGUUAAUUUUUUAAUGACUCAUUCGGCACCUUACGGGAAAC
rnacentral:rRNA from 1 species